UACGGAGGGUGCAAGCGUUAUCCGGAUUCACUGGGUUUAAAGGGUGCGUAGGUGGGUUGGUAAGUCAGUGGUGAAAUCUCCGGGCUUAACCUGGAAACUGCCAUUGAUACUAUCAGUCUUGAAUAUUGUGGAGGUCAGCGGAAUAUGUCAUGUAGCGGUGAAAUGCUUAGAUAUGACAUAGAACACCAAUUGCGAAGGCAGCUGGCUACGCAUAUAUUGACACUGAGGCACGAAAGCGUGGGGGAUCAAAACAGGA
rnacentral:rRNA from 1 species